rnacentral:rRNA from 1 species
GACAGAGGGUGCAAACGUUGUUCGGAAUUACUGGGCGUAAAGCGCGUGUAGGCGGCUACGUGUGUCGGGCGUGAAAUCCCCGAGCUCAACUCGGGAACUGCGUCCGAUACUGGCGGGCUUGAAUCCGGGAGAGGGAUGCGGAAUUCCAGGUGUAGCGGUGAAAUGCGUAGAUAUCUGGAGGAACACCGGUGGCGAAGGCGGCAUCCUGGACCGGCAUUGACGCUGAGGCGCGAAAGCUAGGGGAGCAAACGGG